UCCUGGCUCAGGAUGAACGCUGGCGGCGUGCUUAACACAUGCAAGUCGAACGAAGCCAAAAGGAAGCUUGCUUCUUUGAAGCUUAGUGGCGGACGGGUGAGUAACGCGUGAGUAACCUGCCCUUCAGUGGGGAAUAACACAGAGAAAUCUGUGCUAAUACCGCAUAACGUCUUCUUGCCGCAUGACAGGAAGACCAAAGGAUUUAUUCGCUGAAGGAUGGACUCACGUCCGAUUAGCUAGUUGGUGAGGUAACGGCCCACCAAGGCGAUGAUCGGUAGCCGAACUGAGAGGUUUGAUCGGCCACAUUGGGACUGAGACACGGCCCAGACUCCUACGGGAGGCAGCAGUGGGGAAUAUUGGGCAAUGGGCGAAAAAGCCUGACCCAGCAACGCCGCGUGAAGGAAGACGGUCUUCGGAUUGUAAACUUCUUUGAUUGGGGAAGAAACAAAUGACCUACCCAAAGAACAAGUCACGGCUAACUACGUGCCAGCCGCUGC
rnacentral:rRNA from 1 species